AACGCACAUUGCGCCCGCUGGUAUUCCGGCGGGCAUGCCUGUUCGAGCGUCAUUUCAACCCUCAAGCCCUCGGGUUUGGUGUUGGGGAUCGGCUCUGCCCUCUGGGCGGUGCCGCCCCCGAAAUACAUUGGCGGUCUCGCUGCAGCCUCCAUUGCGUAGUAGCUAACACCUCGCAACUGGAACGCGGCGCGGCCAUGCCGUAAAACCCCAACUUCUGAAUGUUGACCUCGGAUCAGGUAGGAAUACCCGCUGAACUUAA
rnacentral:misc_RNA from 1 species